rnacentral:rRNA from 1 species
AACGAACGCUGGCGGCAGGCUUAACACAUGCAAGUCGAGCGAGACCUUCGGGUCUUGCGGCGGACGGGUGAGUAACGCGUGGGAACGUGCCCUUCUCUACGGAAUAGCCCCGGGAAACUGGGAGUAAUACCGUAUACGCCCUUAUGGGGAAAGAUUUAUCGGAGAAGGUUCGGCACGCGUUGGAUUAGGUAGUUGGUGGGGUAAUGGCCCACUAAGCCGCCGAUCCAUAGCUGGUUUGAGAGGAUGAUCAGCGACACUGGGACUGAGACACGGCCCAGACUCCUACGGGAGGCAGCAGUGGGGAAUCUUAGACAAUGGGGGCAACCCUGAUCUAGCCCGGCCGGGUGAGUGAUGAAGGCCUUAGGGUUGUAAAGCUCUAUCAGCUGGGAAGAUAAUGACGGUACCAGCAGAAGAAGCCCCGGCUAACUCCGUG